UACGUAGGGGGCAAGCGUUGUCCGGAUUUAUUGGGCGUAAAGAGCGUGUAGGCGGCCAGGUAGGUCUGCUGUGAAAACUCGAGGCUUAACUUCGAGACGUCGGCGGAAACCAUCUGGCUAGAGUCCGGAAGAGGAGAGUGGAAUUCCUGGUGUAGCGGUGAAAUGCUUAGAUAGUGACACAGAACACCAAUUGCGAAGGCAGCUGCUACACUGUGAUUGACACUGAUGCGCGAAAGCCAGGGGAGCGAACGGG
rnacentral:rRNA from 1 species